GGGUUGUGAGGUUAAGCGACUAAGCGUACACGGUGGAUGCCCUGGCAGUCAGAGGCGAUGAAGGGCGUGCUAAUCUGCGAUAAGCGCCGGUAAGGUGAUAUGAACCGUUAUAACCGGCGAUACCCGAAUGGGGAAACCCAGUGUGACUCGUCACACUAUCAUUAACUGAAUCCAUAGGUUAAUGAGGCGAACCGGGGGAACUGAAACAUCUAAGUACCCCGAGGAAAAGAAAUCAACCGAGAUUCCCCCAGUAGCGGCGAGCGAACGGGGAGGAGCCCAGAGCCUGAAUCAGCAUGUGUGUUAGUGGAAGCGUCUGGAAAGACGCGCGAUACAGGGUGACAGCCCCGUACACAAAAGCGCAUGUGCUGU
rnacentral:rRNA from 1 species